UUUACAAACCUUGUGGCUCGAAUCCUCUCGUCCAACUGGUCGAUGGUCGGUUUCAGCAAGCACAUGAGUCCUUCUGCAAGCGCAUCGCGGGUCGGAUUGUCGCAGAAGUCCUCGGUUUUGUCCUCGAUCGACGUGUUUGUGCUUUCAGUGUCUCCGUCCAUCGAAUUUCAAUUUUACCUGGGAUUAUUUUUUGUUUUGUUUUUACGUCUCGUCUGCAAAAGAGCGAGAAGGCGUGUCGAGUAAACUGCAGGGGAGAGGGGAGGGGCUGUGUUAGAAAACGGCGGGAGACUACGCGGUGUGCACUCAAUGUACAUAAUUUGUGUUCUAGUUCUGCAGGAUUUUCCGCAAAUUCACGCAUCACUCGCAUCAGCAUCAGCCAUGCAUUAUUUGUGUCGCAGCUUCCUCAAGUCCUUAAAAUACGUUGUCUUUUACAUAAUUUUCCUUCACGUUUCAAUCGAAAUUGUCGUGAAGACGCCACCGUCCAGUGUAAAGUAUGAUUCCUCUUUUUCAAAUAGAUCUGAUAUUCCAUUCUUGGAGGCCCACCAGUGGGAAACACCUGUGCGCAGUCAUUUGCCUUUCAUAGGAAUCUGGGUUGACCCUGAAACAAAGUUGGCUUUAGUAUUGAAAAACCACGCAUUGGCCUCACAUGGAACAAUCAUGACUGUGGACGAGCCCAAAUUUCUGUACAGCAAUUUAGAGUUUCAGAUCUCUGCAGACUAUGCUUGGAAACUCCCCUUGUAUGCAUUCCCCGUGAAUAAUCCACAAACUUUGAUGCAGGAAAAUGAGGAGUUUUUUCUUCCUAAGACUAGACUGAUAAUUAAUGUCAAGUUCAACGCUACCGUCCAAAUCAGCCUGUUUGCUCUUUUACUUGGAGACAACGUUUCUAAGCGACCUACUCAAUUCUCUUACCAGGCUGGUGAUGGUAAUUGGACCAACCACUACGUCCCUGCAGUAGGUCAGAAAUUUUUCUUUCAAGUCAAUAAGAAAUUUCCAAAGACAACCUCUUCCGUCACAUGCAAAUUCAAAAAUACGGAUUCUAAGGCCAAAUCAAUGGCGCUACGUCGACUGGCUGUCUACGGAACUCUGUAGUUUCCAGCAAAGGAUAUGUUUGCUUUAGUGUUGAAAAGAUGAAAUUCAUCUAAAUUACUUUGAUUUGUCUAUAUUAAAAUUAAAAUAUUUUAUUCUUCAUAAAACCUAGUCUGGGGAAUUUUUUUAAUUUUCGGUUGAGCGCCUUAUCAUUUAAAAAUUACUUGCGCCGCGGGGGCUGAUAUUAUAUCCUGUCUAUUGUGCUGUGCACGAUGUUUGCUUUUCCAACGCGCCAGAAUUGUGUGCCCCAGGGCUUACAUAUUGAUUGGUUUGAAAGCAUCAGGAAGUGAAAAGGUAAAGUGGGGAACUGAAAAGCAUGUAUAAAAGUUUUGUGGUGUGCUUUUCCAACGGCUGCCAACACUUCUUGCUUGUCAGUGUUUCAUAACGCCUCGGCGGCGUUGGUUGACCCAGCGAAAAAAGCGUGAGCAAGUAUAUAAAGCUGAUUUAACGUUGAAGAUUAUUACUACCCACAGGAAUUCAGUGCAUGGAAAUAAAAAAUAAAGGGCCAUCGAUUCUCCGAAGAUUUGUCCUCACAUUCAAACACACCAUUCUUAACCUUGUCUGGCUCAACGGGCUGAAUAAGCAACUUCAUUUUAUCCUACAGUCA